rnacentral:rRNA from 1 species
CCUACGGGAGGCAGCAGUAAGGAAUCUUGCGCAAUGGGGGAAACCCUGACGCAGCGACGCCGCGUGGGUGAUGAAGGCCUUCGGGUCGUAAAGCCCUGUCGAGUGGGAAGAACCGUACUUAGGUUAAUAGCCUAAGUGCCUGACGGUACCACCAAAGGAAGCACCGGCCAACUCCGUGCCAGCAGCCGCGGUAAU